rnacentral:rRNA from 1 species
AGAGUUUGAUCAUGGCUCAGGACGAACGCUGGCGGCGUGCUUAACACAUGCAAGUCACGGGGGUGUCGCAAGACACAACCGGCGAACGGGUGCGUAACACGUGAGCAACCUACCGAAAUGAGGGGGGAUAGCCGUCCCAACGGACGGGUAAUACCGCAUACGCUCUUGUCCAGGCAUUUGGACUUGAGGAAACCUCCGGGGCAUUUCGAGGGGCUCGCGGCCUAUCAGCUAGUUGGUGAGGUAACGGCUCACCAAGACGACGACGGGUAGCUGGUCUGAGAGGAUGGCCAGCCACAUUGGGACUGAGAUACGGCCCAGACUCCUACGGGAGGCAGCAGUGGGGAAUCUUGCGCAAUGGCCUAACGGCUGACGCAGCGACGCCGCGUGAGGGAUGACGCUCCUCGGAGUGUAAACCUCUUUUGCCUGAGACGAAUUGUCAGCUUUAGCUGAUUUGACUGUAUCGGGUGGAUAAGCACCGGCUAACUCCGUGCCAGCAGCCGCGGUAAUACGGGGGGUGCGAGCGUUGUCCGGAAUCACUGGGCGUAAAGGGCGCGUAGGUGGCCUGAUAAGGGUGUGGUGAAAGUCCGGGGCUCAACCCCGGAUCUGCCGUGCCGACUGUUGGGCUAGAGUACUGUAGGGGGCAGGCGGAAUUCCGGGUGUAGCGGUGGAAUGCGUAGAGAUCCGGAGGAAGACCGGUGGCGAAGGCGCCUGCUGGGCAGUUACUGACACUGAGGCGCGACAGCGUGGGGAGCAAACAGGAUUAGAUACCCNNGUAGUCC